rnacentral:rRNA from 20 species
UUUUAUGGAGAGUUUGAUCCUGGCUCAGGAUGAACGCUGGCGGCGUGCCUAAUACAUGCAAGUCGAGCGAACGGACGAGAAGCUUGCUUCUCUGAUGUUAGCGGCGGACGGGUGAGUAACACGUGGAUAACCUACCUAUAAGACUGGGAUAACUUCGGGAAACCGGAGCUAAUACCGGAUAAUAUUUUGAACCGCAUGGUUCAAAAGUGAAAGACGGUCUUGCUGUCACUUAUAGAUGGAUCCGCGCUGCAUUAGCUAGUUGGUAAGGUAACGGCUUACCAAGGCAACGAUGCAUAGCCGACCUGAGAGGGUGAUCGGCCACACUGGAACUGAGACACGGUCCAGACUCCUACGGGAGGCAGCAGUAGGGAAUCUUCCGCAAUGGGCGAAAGCCUGACGGAGCAACGCCGCGUGAGUGAUGAAGGUCUUCGGAUCGUAAAACUCUGUUAUUAGGGAAGAACAUAUGUGUAAGUAACUGUGCACAUCUUGACGGUACCUAAUCAGAAAGCCACGGCUAACUACGUGCCAGCAGCCGCGGUAAUACGUAGGUGGCAAGCGUUAUCCGGAAUUAUUGGGCGUAAAGCGCGCGUAGGCGGUUUUUUAAGUCUGAUGUGAAAGCCCACGGCUCAACCGUGGAGGGUCAUUGGAAACUGGAAAACUUGAGUGCAGAAGAGGAAAGUGGAAUUCCAUGUGUAGCGGUGAAAUGCGCAGAGAUAUGGAGGAACACCAGUGGCGAAGGCGACUUUCUGGUCUGUAACUGACGCUGAUGUGCGAAAGCGUGGGGAUCAAACAGGAUUAGAUACCCUGGUAGUCCACGCCGUAAACGAUGAGUGCUAAGUGUUAGGGGGUUUCCGCCCCUUAGUGCUGCAGCUAACGCAUUAAGCACUCCGCCUGGGGAGUACGACCGCAAGGUUGAAACUCAAAGGAAUUGACGGGGACCCGCACAAGCGGUGGAGCAUGUGGUUUAAUUCGAAGCAACGCGAAGAACCUUACCAAAUCUUGACAUCCUUUGACAACUCUAGAGAUAGAGCUUUCCCCUUCGGGGGACAAAGUGACAGGUGGUGCAUGGUUGUCGUCAGCUCGUGUCGUGAGAUGUUGGGUUAAGUCCCGCAACGAGCGCAACCCUUAAGCUUAGUUGCCAUCAUUAAGUUGGGCACUCUAAGUUGACUGCCGGUGACAAACCGGAGGAAGGUGGGGAUGACGUCAAAUCAUCAUGCCCCUUAUGAUUUGGGCUACACACGUGCUACAAUGGACAAUACAAAGGGCAGCGAAACCGUGAGGUCAAGCAAAUCCCAUAAAGUUGUUCUCAGUUCGGAUUGUAGUCUGCAACUCGACUACAUGAAGCUGGAAUCGCUAGUAAUCGUAGAUCAGCAUGCUACGGUGAAUACGUUCCCGGGUCUUGUACACACCGCCCGUCACACCACGAGAGUUUGUAACACCCGAAGCCGGUGGAGUAACCUUUUAGGAGCUAGCCGUCGAAGGUGGGACAAAUGAUUGGGGUGAAGUCGUAACAAGGUAGCCGUAUCGGAAGGUGCGGCUGGAUCACCUCCUUUCU